GACAGGGUCCGACAUGUGUCCUACAUGCUGGUGUGACUGGGACCAUUAAAGGCACAGUUACCAGACUGCGUGGCCCCCUGACGGUCGUGUUCCUGUGCUUUCAGAUGGAGGUGAUCGUGGGGGAUUUUGGGAUCGUGGUGGUUCCUCGUGACGGAGCCGACACAGAGAGGAUCAUGAAUCACUCCUCCAUCCUCCGCAAGUUCAAGGACAACAUCAUUGUGGUAAAAGACGGGAUGAGCCACCCGAUGUCCAU